rnacentral:lncRNA from 1 species
AUUAUAGACAUAGAGAGAAAGAGAGAGGCAGAGACACAGGCAGAGGGAGAAGCAGGCCCCAUGCCGGGAGCCCGACGCAGGACUUGAUCCUGGGACUCCAGGAUUGUGCCCUGGGCCAAAGGCAGGAGCCAAACCACUGAGCCACCCAGGGAUCCCAAAGCAGGCUGCUUUUGAUGGGGAUAGAUACCUGGGAAAAUAUACUUUGGAAAAGCCGCCACCUCCAUGCAGCUCAUGAGGUGAUACUGAUUGACAAGCCUGUAUAAUUAAAAAGAAAAUAUAGUGAGGCCUGGCGAAUGGACCACACAGGAGCACCAAGCUCUGAUGGCCUUACUGUAAUCUCUUGCUUUCAAUUAGGCAAGGUGACUGAGCCACGAGGAGGAGAACCUGAGGGAACUGUGAAGACAGUUCUCCAUCAGACACUGGGCACUCUGUUGCCAGAACCAAGGGCUAGGGCAGCGAAAGAGCUGUAUGAAGAAAGAUGAAGUAAACCAAGCUGAUCCGCAUAUUCUAGGAGUGUAAGAAAGGGAUAGGUAGAUGUGGGUCCAAGUUUUUGAGCCCCCACCUCACAGCAGAUCAUUCUAAGAAAUGCCAAGAACAAAUGACUGGUUCUAGAAUAAACGAAUUAAGAUGAAUCUGGUUUUCUCUGAUGUGACACCAAUUCUGAUCACCCCUUUUUUCUUCUCUUUAAAAUUAAAUUAAGAGGGACACAUGGGUGGCUCAGAGGUUGAGCAUAUGCCUUUGGCUCAGGGUGUGACCCCGGGGUCCCGGGAUCGAGUCCUGCAUCAGGCUCCCUGCAUGGAGCCAACUUCUCCCUCUGCCUGUGUCUCUGCCUCUCUCUGUGUCUCUCAUGAAUAAAUAAAUAAAAUCUUUAAAGAAAAUAAAAUUGAACUAGGAAGCCAAUGACUUGCUUUAGUGUUCUGUUUAAGCAACUACAUUUAUAUACUUUCUAAAAGGCCAAUGUUUACCUGCAGCAUCUUUAUUAUUUUAAGUCAACUUUAACCCAAAUUCAGUGGGAAGCAGGCUUCACAAGCACUUAGUGUGAGCAUCCCUCUAAGGGCCUUAUUGUUGUUCUAAAACUGAGCACAGCUAUGCUUUUCUUCUGUUAGUAACACUGGGGAUCUGGAGAGCUCACGCACACACACGCCCUUGAUGUGUCCUACAAAUAGUAUAAAUUCUACGGUGAUCAUUGGGUAUUGCCUUCCAUAGGGGAAAAGAGGAUAAAUUUAUACCAGCAGCUAAGGUGGCUAUGAUGGUCCCCUCUGUAAACUGACUGUAAAGAAAUCCUAUCAGUUGAUGAUAGACACCAGGGCCUCAUGCGUCACAGAGCAACUGGGUCAUUUUGACUGCUUCCGAAUAGGAGUAAAUAGAACUUUAUGUAAAAUUGCUUAUACUGGCUAGACUUCAAGAGCUUAAACUUUAGUGUUUGAUAUUUCAUAAACUAAAGAAUUUUCUCUCCCUAAUUCUCAGCCUGAUGGAUCAUCAUUUGAUGCCUGGAGGGUAACAGGAGACCUUCCUACUUGGGGCAAGAUUAGUGCGUUGCUUUCAUGUCUACAAGAACAUUUCAGAGCUUCCAAGAACUUGUCUGAAAGGAAACUUGGAAGCAAGCGAAGGUGUGAGAACAGGAAACUUUCUCAGGGAUUUAGACAAUUAGAGCUCAUGUUGAUUUACUUAGCAAACCCAGUGACCCUCUUUGUCUGCUGGCUUUUACGUGUACAUUUUAUUCUACACUGGUCUUAACGUUGCCCUAGAUUAGGCCACUUCCCAAGGCUUCCCAUUCAAUUUUUUCUUGCUGCUCCCUCUGUAGUUGGCUUUCCCUGAGGAGGGUGUGAGGACCUCAGAAUAAACACAAUCCUUCUAUCAGCAAGGUUCCAUCUUGACUCUCCACAGGACCACCCUAUGUGGUGGAAGCCAGUGUCAACAUGCACAUGGGGAAAGAUGUCACUGUACUUGAGAUCUGAGGUAAUCUCCCAUCCUGCUGCUUUACUUGGCAUAACUAAUCACUGCAGCUCUCAUGUUAAGAAAAGGCCCAACAAUGUCCUCACUUAUAUCAGGACACCAGGCCACCUGCAUGUCCUAGCUGAAGCAAGAGAAGGAGUAUUUGAUGUGCAAUAAUCAAGUGGCUGUCAUUCAGAUGAUCCAUUCUCCCAAGUCCCAUAAACGUGUGCCUGAGUCACAACAAAAAAAGCAGUAGGUUCAACUUUAGAGGGCUGUUUCGCUACAAUGUCUGUAAAUCAUUGGGUGCCCAAGAGAACUGCUUUUCUGUUCAUGCAAUGAAAUGGAACAUAAAUAUGGAGAGGAAUUCUUCCCACUUCAAAGGGGUCAGAGCCACACAUCAGGGGGUUCUGAGAAUAUAGCAAGGAUGUGUUCUUCACUAGUGGCAGGUUAUGGUUUCAAAGCAGCCAAGGCUUUAGGUGAUGGGUCAUGAGAAGAGGUUAGUGAUAGAUGUCUCCAUGUUUCUGAGAACAGGGGAGUGCAUCAUAAAACAUGGGGAUAGUCCCAGGGUACUUUAGAAGAUACAAAAUGUCCUAGAGUGGAGGAUGGGGAGAAGAUAGGAUCAAGGUUAUGUUUGUUAUGCUCUUUAAUUGCAACUUUAUAACCUACAUUGGCGUGAGGUACAUUUACAUGUGCAACAUGACAUAUUAAUCAUUUGGUAUGGCUUCCAAGGACUGGUGGUUUGAAGGUCAUUGUCCCUCCACCUUACAGGAGCUGUUGUUCAGGGGAGCUGUUGUCCACAGCUUCAUCAUAAUCAUUGAGGCCAGAGGGAGAAUCUAACUGGCUACCUUUGCACAGUCCCAACAGAAUGUCCACCAGCUGUACUUCUUCAUCCUGUCAUUAAACAUGGGUUCAGCACAGGUCACUGAAUCAUAAACCAUUAAAGCUAAAAGAUACUCAAGAGAUCUUCUGGCUCAGUGAUUUCUAAACUGUUAAAUAAAAAUUUUUCAAAUAAAAUUUUACUCAGACCCCAAAACAUAAAAUAAAUUUAGUAGCUAUGAUUCAAUAUGGCAAUUUAAUCAUAACUUUUUAUUAUUCUUACCUAAUAAAUGAAUAUGAACUGAAUUGGUUAAGAAAAAAUCACCAUUUUGUAGUCACUAAUGAGACAAUGGAUCCAGGCAAUAAUCAUGAAUGGAGGCUGAAACCUUAAGAUGAAGGGUUUGAUAGGAGACUUUUUAAUGGAAGGAUGAGGCUGAUACCAAUUGAGCUCAUUAAUCAAACCACAUUAGUAAAAGUGGGUUGAUCAACUCUACUCUGGCUUCAGAGGUGUGCAACAGGAAGUACAUAUGAAGAGUAUCCAUGAAGCACUCUUGCCUUAAAAAAUAUCAAACUCAUAUUCACUCAACCUUCUAGGUUUAAAUACCAGUAUCCAGGACAUUAAAGAACAAAUCAAACAAUACCAUGAGGAAACAAUCAACCAUAUUCGGAACGUGGGACAGUCUACAGAACAAAUGACCUAGUUUCCCUAAUUGGUUGAAGGCAUGUGCAGUGGAUUCUAUUAUUGCCCAAUUAUUCAUCCCUUCUUCCUGCAAGAGGAAGGAUUAUUCAUUUGUAAGUGGAUC